UUUUGAAAUGUCUUACAACACACUGGAUAUUUCUAGUUUCAGACAUUAUUUAAGGGAUCUGCGAACAAGCAGACUAAAGAUGGCUAAAUAGUAACUGCACCCCAUUUAUUAGUUUCAUUUUUGGGGGUAAUGGUUGUAGUUAGUACUUUGAUAGUGCUUGUAGUUUGGGAGGUAAGCCAAGAUGUAACCGAGGAAACUUGCAGAAGCCAGACACAGAGAGAUGGAUGCAGGUUUUCAGGAAGUAAGAGGUCUUUAUUAACAUACCGAUCGGGUCUCCGAUGAACUAACGUUCCAAAAGAGGUCUGAGGGCCGAACACAUGGAGUACAUGCUUUUUAUAGAACUAUAACUCCUCCCAUUAAUAGCUCCACUUGUCCCCCC